rnacentral:rRNA from 1 species
GUCUAUGGCCAUGCUACCGCCCUAAACAAGCCCGAUCCCAUCUGAUCUCGGAAGCUAAGCAGGGUUGGACCUGGUUAGUACUUGAAUGAGAGACUACCUAGGAAGACCUGGUGCUGUAGGCG